AUGAACGCUGGCGGCGUGCCUAAUACAUGCCAGUCGCGCGAACAGACGAGGAGCUUGCUCCUCUGACGUUAGCGGCGGACGGGUGAGUAACACGUGGAUAACCUACCUAUAAGACUGGGCUAACUUCGGGAAACCGGAGCUAAUACCGGAUAAUAUAUUGAACCGCAUGGUUCAAUAGUGAAAGACGGUUUUGCUGUCACUUAUAGAUGGAUCCGCGCCGCAUUAGCUAGUUGGUAAGGUAACGGCUUACCAAGGCAACGAUGCGUAGCCGACCUGAGAGGGUGAUCGGCCACACUGGAACUGAGACACGGUCCAGACUCCUACGGGAGGCAGCAGUAGGGAAUCUUCCGCAAUGGGCGAAAGCCUGACGGAGCAACGCCGCGUGAGUGAUGAAGGUCUUCGGAUCGUAAAACUCUGUUAUUAGGGAAGAACAAAUGUGUAAGUAACUAUGCACGUCUUGACGGUACCUAAUCAGAAAGCCACGGCUAACUACGUG
rnacentral:rRNA from 1 species